UAGUCUACGCCGUAAACGAUGGUCACUAGCUGUUCGUUUCACGUUGGUGAGAUGAGUGGCUAAGCGAAAGUGAUAAGUGACCCACCUGGGGAGUACGUUCGCAAGAAUGCAACUCAAAGGAAUUGACGGGGGCCCGCACAAGCGGUGGAGCAUGUGGUUUAAUUCGAUGAUACGCGAGGAACCUUACCAGGGCUUAAAUGUAAGUUGCAUUAGGUAGGGAUACUUAUUUCUUCGGACCACUUACAAGGUGCUGCAUGGUUGUCGUCAGCUCGUGCCGUGAGGUGUCAGGUUAAGUCCUAUAACGAGCGCAACCCCUAUUGUUAGUUACCAGCAUUUAAAGAUGGGGACUCUAACAAGACUGCCGGUGCAAACCGCGAGGAAGGUGGGGAUGACGUCAAAUCAUCACGGCCCUUACGUCCUGGGGCUACACACGUGCUACAAUGGUAGGUACAGAGAGUCGCCACUUCGCGAGGAGGAGCCAAUCUA
rnacentral:rRNA from 1 species